rnacentral:rRNA from 1 species
AGCGGCGGACGGGUGAGUAAUGCCUAGGAAUCUGCCUGGUAGUGGGGGAUAACGUUCGGAAACGAACGCUAAUACCGCAUACGUCCUACGGGAGAAAGCAGGGGACCUUCGGGCCUUGCGCUAUCAGAUGAGCCUAGGUCGGAUUAGCUAGUUGGUGAGGUAAUGGCUCACCAAGGCGACGAUCCGUAACUGGUCUGAGAGGAUGAUCAGUCACACUGGAACUGAGACACGGUCCAGACUCCUACGGGAGGCAGCAGUGGGGAAUAUUGGACAAUGGGCGAAAGCCUGAUCCAGCCAUGCCGCGUGUGUGAAGAAGGUCUUCGGAUUGUAAAGCACUUUAAGUUGGGAGGAAGGGCAGUUACCUAAUACGUGAUUGUUUUGACGUUACCGACAGAAUAAGCACCGGCUAACUCUGUGCCAGCAGCCGCGGUAAUACAGAGGGUGCAAGCGUUAAUCGGAAUUACUGGGCGUAAAGCGCGCGUAGGUGGUUUGUUAAGUUGGAUGUGAAAUCCCCGGGCUCAACCUGGGAACUGCAUUCAAAACUGACUGACUAGAGUAUGGUAGAGGGUGGCGGAAUUUCCUGUGUAGCGGUGAAAUGCGU